rnacentral:rRNA from 1 species
CUCGCAUUCUGUCAGCGCUCAGGCGGCUCCCAGUUUUGGCAGGCCGUCGUCCAGUUGCUGCCCGUGCUUCGCAUUGGCACAUCCAUUUCGGUGGGUACUGGGUCCUCGACCCUGUUCUGGUUUGAUAGGUGGCUUGGCGACACCCCCCUGGCCGCGCGUUUUCCAGUGUUCUUCGACAUCGCUGUCGACCCUCGGGUAUCUGUCGAGGCGGCCCUUAUUGACUUAGGGCGCCUCGCUUUCCGCCGCCCCUUUGGCCCCCCUGAGGUUGCAGCUUGGGAUGUCCUCCUCCAGGACAUCGCCCUUCUCCCUAUGGACGUCACCGACACCCCGGACGCCAUCUCUUGGCGUCUGGAACCCUCCAGCUGCUUCUCCACCAAAUCCCUCUACGCGGCUAUCGCCCCAUCGAUGGCCCCCGAGCCCUUCAGUUUGAUCUGGGACAUCCGCCUGCCCCUGAAGAUCAGGAUCUUCCUGUGGCAAUGGAUCCGCGGCCGCCUCCCGUCCGGCGUAAAGGUCCUUAAGCGUCAUGGACCUGGAGAUGGGAUGUGCCCCAUGUGCGGCACGGUAGAGGAUGCCAACCACAUCUUCUUCUCGUGCUACAUGGCACAGUUCCUUUGGUCCUGUUUCCGCGAAAUGGUUGGGGGCCAGUGGUGCAACACCAACUUCCCUGAUCUGCUUGCGGAAAUUCAGGCCUCCCCCCCUCGCUACAGGCAUAUUAGAUGGCUUUGCAUUGGGGUCCUUGCCUGGACGCUAUGGACCGUACGCAAUAAGCUUGUCAUACAGAAGGUGCCUCUUCGGUGUGCUACUGACUCCAUUUUUAAAAUGUGUGGUUAUUUGCAGCUCUGGCGGCAGCUUAGCCGCCCCCAGGACCGGGACGUCAUCAGCACCCUCCUCGCCGACCUUCGAUCGAUGGCCUUCCGCUUGGCGCCUCCGCUCCCUCCGCCACCCCCGGAGCCCGACUAG